rnacentral:tRNA from 1 species
GAGGGUAUAGCUCAGUGGUAAAGUGCAUGCUUAGCAUGCACGAGGCCCUGGGUUCAAUCCCCUGUACCGGUA